rnacentral:rRNA from 1 species
UGUUCCCUACGGGGGGCAGCAGUAGGGAAUUUUCGUCAAUGGGCGCAAGCCUGAACGAGCGAUGCCGCGUGAGUGAAGAAGGCCUUCGGGUCGUAAAGCUCUGUUGCGGGGGAAAAAAGGCAGCAUCCGGAAAUGGGUGCUGACUGAUGGUGCCCCGCCAGAAAGUCACGGCUAACUACGUGCCAGCAGCCGCGGUAAUACGUAGGUGUCGAGCGUUAUCCGGAAUGAUUGGGCGUACAGGGUGCGCAGGCGGUCCUGCCAGUCUGGAGUGAGACGCCUGAGCCCACC